rnacentral:rRNA from 1 species
CGAGUGGCGGACGGGUGAGUAACGCGUAGGAAUCUGCCUUAUAGCGGGGGAUAGCCCGGGGAAACUCGGAUUAAUACCGCAUACGCCCCACGGGGGAAAGGCCGGGAUCUUCGGACCGGUCACUAUUGGAGGAGCCUGCGUAGGAUUAGCUAGUUGGUGAGGUAAAGGCUCACCAAGGCGACGAUCCUUAGCUGGUCUGAGAGGACGAUCAGCCACACUGGAACUGAGACACGGUCCAGACUCC